rnacentral:rRNA from 1 species
GAGUUUGAUCUUGGCUCAGAACGAACGCUGGCGGCGUGGAUAAGACAUGCAAGUCGAACGGGACUUAUUUUGUAGCAAUACGAAGUGAGUUCAGUGGCGCAAGGGUGCGUAACACGUGAGCAAUCUACCAAAGAGUGAAGAAUAGCUCGCCGAAAGGCGAAUUAAUACUGCAUACGACCGAGGCGAUCAUUCGCCUUACGUUAAAGCUGGGGCAACCUGGCGCUCUUUGAUGAGCUCGCGGCCUAUCAGCUAGUUGGCGGGGUAAAAGCCCACCAAGGCUAUGACGGGUAGCUGGUCUGAGAGGACGACCAGCCACACUGGAACUGAGGCACGGUCCAGACACCUACGGGUGGCAGCAGUCGAGAAUUUUUCUCAAUGGGGGAAACCCUGAAGGAGCGACGCCGCGUGGAGGAUGAAGGUCUUCGGAUUGU